UCGUCUCGUCGCCGACGCCGAGUAUUCGCCAAAUGCCCGACGAACCAAGCCACCGCACGCCGGUGAGCCGUGCAUCCGCGUCUUCUUGGAUCCGGGGAGCCGGGAGACCUGGAGCCGCUGAGCCUGCGUGCGCCAUAUCCGGCGGCAAGCUCCCUCCCUCUCUCCGUGAGUUUCAGUCUUGCAUCCUUCCUCUUUACGGAGUACUUGUAAUUGGAUUCAGAAGUCAGGACUAGUCAACCGUCGUAUGCAUGGUUUACAUGCCAUUGGCUACGGAUGUUUUGUUUGUUAUUAUCUUACGUGAUGAAUUGUUACGGGUUAAAUUUAUCUAUACCCAUUAUGCAUGCAAGGUGUUCGGGUUUUGCCUAGGCGGGACAUCGACCCAUGUUCGCUUACCCCUUUGGUUGGGUUUUGAACCUGCUUUUACUUUUGCAUAAGUCAAAAGCCAACCAAAGAACCAAAAAGUUCUAUCUGCUUUUGCCCAAAAGCUGCUUUUGGGCUAGUACAAAUGCAAAAGCACCAUCCCCUGCUUUCAAGUACUUUUGGGAUAAAAAAUUACCCACUUGCCACUCUUUAUCAAAGUAACGGUUCGUUUUUUUUCCCGAUCUAUUUCUUCUGCAAGUCAUCCGUCACAUCCGUCCGCCUCCCACAUUCGAGCGCCGCCCCCGGCGGACCGUCUCCCUCCACUCCCGGUCGUCGGCCGCCGCCCCUUCGCCGGCCCCGGUCACCCGCC
rnacentral:lncRNA from 1 species